rnacentral:rRNA from 1 species
ACGAACGCUGGCGGCGUGCUUAACACAUGCAAGUCGAACGGAAAGGCCCUGCUUUUGUGGGGUGCUCGAGUGGCGAACGGGUGAGUAACACGUGAGUAACCUGCCCUUGACUUUGGGAUAACUUCAGGAAACUGGGGCUAAUACCGGAUAGGAGCUCCUGCUGCAUGGUGGGGGUUGGAAAGUUUCGGCGGUUGGGGAUGGACUCGCGGCUUAUCAGCUUGUUGGUGGGGUAGUGGCUUACCAAGGCUUUGACGGGUAGCCGGCCUGAGAGGGUGACCGGCCACAUUGGGACUGAGAUACGGCCCAGACUCCUAUGGGAGGCAGCAGUGGGGAAUAUUGCACAAUGGGCGGAAGCCUGAUGCAGCAACGCCGCGUGCGGGAUGACGGCCUUCGGGUUGUAAACCGCUUUCGCCUGUGACGAAGCGUGAGUGACGGUAAUGGGUAAAGAAGCACCGGCUAACUACGU